rnacentral:rRNA from 1 species
UACGUAGGGGGGCUAGCGUUGUCCGGAAUCAUUGGGCGUAAAGCGCGCGUAGGCGGCCCAGUAAGUCCGUUGUAAAAGUCAAAGGCUCAACCUUUGAAAGCCGAUGGAUACUGCUGGGCUAGAGUCCGGAAGAGGCGAGUGGAAUUCCUGGUGUAGCGGUGAAAUGCGCAGAUAUCGGGAGGAACACCGGUGGCGAAGGCGGUUCUCUGGGCCUGUACUGACGCUGAGGAGCGAAAGCGUGGGGAGCGAACAGG